rnacentral:rRNA from 1 species
UACGUAGGGUGCAAGCGUUGUCCGGAAUUAUUGGGCGUAAAGAGCUCGUAGGCGGUCUGUCGCGUCGGCUGUGAAAACUCGGGGCUCAACUCCGAGCUUGCAGUCGAUACGGGCAGACUAGAGUUCGGUAGGGGAGUCUGGAAUUCCUGGUGUAGCGGUGAAAUGCGCAGAUAUCAGGAGGAACACCGGUGGCGAAGGCGGGACUCUGGGCCGAUACUGACGCUGAGGAGCGAAAGCGUGGGGAGCAAACAGG